rnacentral:lncRNA from 1 species
CAGGAAUUUUACCUCCUGGACAGGCCUUCCCCACCUCGUGCUGUGGGCCAUCCGUGCAACUUGGACCAAAGGCAGAAGCCCAUCCCUCUGUAUGUGGUCAGGAUGGACGGUAAGACCCCUGCACAGGGGGAGGCCACAGGCUCAGGACCGCACAUGGGCGAUCCUCGCCCUUUUCCGUGGCUCCCUCGGGCAGAAGCUGCAAGGUGACACCCCACGAGGUGAUCCCUCGACUUUUAGAAAGUUGAACCCAACCACGUUCGAAGCAGGAAUGGACAGUUUCUGUUGUAUCCAUGUGCUAGGCCCUGCGCGUUGAGGGAGAUCCCUGCCUUGUUCUAGGGACUGGGUUCCUGGGCCUGAUCAGACCAGGUCGUGCGCUCCUGCGUUCCCUCGGCCUGCUCGUCAGGGAUCCCAGGCCCCCAGGACACGAUGCAGGUGAGCAGCGCGCCUGACACUUUGUUGGGUCUCCUCUCCCGUUUCCACCGGCAAGAAUCUGCCUAAACCUGACUGUUAUUCUUCACGUUCUGUACCUUGCUUGCCCAGAAAAUUCUAGGGAAGGACAUCUGACCUCCUCUUGGUCAAUGAGCCUCAACUCCACACGCCGUGGGGAUCUGCCGCCCCCAGAGCCAGGCAUCCGAAACCCCACCGUCUGCCUCCAGAUCAAUGAUACGCUUGCCUUCCUGGUGACCCGUGAGCAUUACCCCGAGUAUGACCUGUGAGUGUCCAGAGAACACAGCCCUGCCACCAUCGAAGUAUUGGAGAUGAGACGCUCCUAUGCCCGUAGCAGCCUCCAAGAGACAACAUACCGCCUCCUUUCUCUGUCCCCAGGGGCCACUUCUACAACACACUGGGGGGAUUUGACUGGGGGCGCCUCCGGGCGCUCGCUGAGGAGU